rnacentral:rRNA from 1 species
UACGUAGGCAGCAAGCGUUGUUCGGAGUUACUGGGCGUAAAGGGUGUGUAGGCGGUUCUUUAAGUUUGGUGUGAAAUCUCCCGGCUCAACUGGGAGGGUGCGACGAAUACUGAGGGACUAGAGUACGGGAGAGGAAAGUGGAAUUCCUGGUGUAGCGGUGAAAUGCGUAGAUAUCAGGAGGAACACCGGUGGUGUAGACGGCUUUCUGGACCGUAACUGACGCUGAGACACGAAAGCGUGGGUAGCAAACAGG